UGCAAGGUGACGACUCCCUCUGUCUUAUUUCUUUAUCUCCACACCACAGGGAGGAAGAGCGGCUGGCCCUGGCCUAGGGAGGCUAGCUUCAGAAACACAAAUCGCUCCUGUCUCUCGCCCAGACAAAGAGUCCUGGGUGAAGGGGGCUGCCAACCCCUGCUCCACACCCGUGGCCCAGGGACGAGGAGGACACAGCAGCUCUGUCAUCCGCUGAUGCAUGAGUCGCCGGGUUUCCUGGAAAAACGACCUGGGAGAGGAGGCUGCUCAGAGCCAGCAAGCUGAUGUACCAGUCCACUGUACCCUCUGAGUGGCGGCGCCCGGAUGUCCUCCUGACACCUCCAUCAUCUUACGCAAAGCAUCUUGGAGAAGGGAGGCAGCCCGGGCAGAAUCCAUAACGGCAAGAGUAAGCAUAAGAACAAUGUGUCGGAGGAAAUUUAUUUGGGCUCACAGUGUCAGAGGUCUCAGUCCACAGAUGGCUCACUCCAUAGCUCUGGGCCCAAGGUGAGGCAGACCAUCAUGGCGGAAGGCACGGCAGAUGGAGGAAGCUCAGGACAAAGCCAUCAGGAAGAAGAGAGAGAGCUCUGCUCACCCGGGACCUACUUUCUCCAACCACAGCCUACCUGCCUGGUUACCACCCAGUUAACCCACCAGUGGAUUAAUCCACCCCUGAGGUUCCAGCUCUCAACACCUAAUCAUUUCACCUCUGAAGGUUCUCACCAUGAGAACCUUCUCACCCAGGAGCACCUACGUGAACUUCUGGGGGAUACCUCAUAGCUAACCAUAACUCCUUCCAAUUCCACUUAUGGGUCCCUAACGGUUUCAGGAUGCCAACAGAUUCACGUGACCCAGUGGUUGAGAGUCCGGGAUCUGGAAUCAGCCUGGCUUUAUUUAAACCUGACCCCCCCCAUUAAUCACUAGCAAAUGACAUGAUGUUCAGAGCCCCGAUUUAUAAAAUAGGCCUAAAAGCAGUCCCUAUUUGCAAAACUCUUUGCAAAGCUUUAAUGAAUUAAUAGGUGUGAAUUAUUUAGAAUGGUGUCUGGUACACACCAAGCCCUCAAUGAACCUAGGCUUUUAUCGCCGUGUGCCGUAUACGAACUACGUAUUCCCACUUAAUCUUGUCAAAAAUAAUAUCCUCUUCUCCUGGGUACAGAUGAGGAAACAGGGGCCCAUGGGGGAUAAGCACCGGCCGUGUCACACAACCUGUCAAAGAUGUCGACAAGAAUAAAGCCACAAAUGCUCUA